rfam:Clostridium sp. MSTE9 ctg120006482992, whole genome shotgun sequence.
GGGGAUGCAAUGGUUUCGACGGGGGUUGUGAGCCUAAGUAAGCGAGUAGCGGUGCGGAACCGCUAUAAAAUCCGCAAACUUAAAAUUAAACGACAACAAUAAAGUUGCAUUAGCAGCCUAAUUUAGGCUGCUCGUUCUUACCGGGAGUACCGCGGCCCGGAUAAGGGCGUCAUUUAGCGGUGAACAUGAACCGGGCUACGCCUUUAACCCGGUCAUGGCUUAAAGGCUACUGAUGCACAGAGCCUGCCGACGGGCGCUGUGCGGAGGGAACGUUAAAACACCGGCUACACUCGUAGAAAGCUUUGGUAGGCGGUCUUCGGACAGGAGUUCGAUUCUCCUCAUCUCCACCA